CAGUCGCCGCGGUAAUACAGAGGAUGCAAGCGUUAUCCGGAAUGAUUGGGCGUAAAGCGUCUGUAGGUGGCUUUUCAAGUCCGCCGUCAAAUCCCAGGGCUCAACCCCGUGACGCACUGGAAACUGGGAGACUUGAGUGCAGAAGAGGAGAGCGGAAUUCCACGUGUAGCGGUGAAAUGCGUAGAGAUGUGGAGGAACACCAGUGGCGGAGGCGGCUCUCUGGACUGUAACUGACGCUGAGGCGCGAAAGCGUGGGGAGCAAACAGGAUUAGAUACCCCAGUAGUCCCUGUCUCUUAUACA
rnacentral:rRNA from 1 species